UACACUAUUCAUAAGAGCUUGAAGAUCUGCAAGAGUUGCCACUCUAUUGUCUACUUGUGGAGAUGCACUGUCUAUGACCUGGUCUACUUCCAUAUUUAGAGAAUAGAUGGAUUAAAAUUUUGAGAGAAGAAGAAAUUGCUAAGUCUCUUAGAGAAAAUUGUAGCACUACCUGUCACUAAAACCUACUCGGAGAAAAGAAGAAAAAAAAACACUAAACGAUUUCAGUUUUAGAGGAGGGUAAUCCGCAACCUCUAAAAAUGUCUCAAUGCUUUCGAGAAGAGGG
rnacentral:lncRNA from 1 species